UCUGCAAGAAACACAAACAGCCAUCUGUUAGGGAAGAAACAGCACGGCUUCUCGGCUUCUCAUUUAACAAGCAACCCACCUUGGAAAAUAUCUUCCCCGAUGACAUCGUCCUCCUGUGGCUGAAAGCUCUCCCUGAUGGAGGGGGCCGGGCCGUGCUAGGCUCCCCAGGGGAGAGGCUGCGGACAAGAACAUCUUGUGAUGCAAACAGGGUCGUCUUCAGUGUUAACCUAACAGGAUGCCUGACGUUAGGAAGCCUGCCAGCAAUUUCGCAUCUCGAAAGCAGAGUCGGCCAGCCAGGGAGGUCCCGUGGCCCACGAAUGCCACGCUGACCACAUGACCUCGGGGGGGACUCCCAGGCCCGUGCACGGUGCGGGGAACACGGCUGUCUGCGGAACGAGCACAUCAAAACCCCCCUCCACAAACACAGAAUUCUGAUGCAGUCACAGGAUCCCAGAUGUUUCUUCUUCCGAUGCAGUAGAGAAUUAGUUGUUUAUUACAAAUGAAUAUUGACAACACAUCAAGGACUUAAUAAAACAUUUCCAGGGUAAAA